UCAACAAGAAUGAGAUCACAUAUGAUUUUGUUUACAGUUUACAGAAUUUGUAUACGCAUCAAAGCUUUCACAAGAAAUCAGAAUUAGAAUUUGUAUCUCACUAGGAAUACAGAAAACCAGGUUUUCAUUUCAAAAUCAAGUCUUUACAGUUGAGUUUUCUGAAAAUUAUUCAAAUUUACGAACCUAUCCGGGAGAGGCGGCUGCCGGGUUCUUGCUGCCAACAGCAGCGGCCGGCGGCGGCGCUCCUCCAGCGAGCCACUGACCACCGGACGAGCCUACAGCAACUCCAGGCCGCGACUCCGGCGAAGCAGCUGCAGUCGGCGGCGACUCCGGGCAAGCCAACGGCGGCGGGAGCUCCGAGCGAGACGAACGGCUGAAGGCCAGAUCCGUCGACCUCAGGCGAAGAAGCAAUAACUCCAGGCGACGGCGGCUUCACUGGCAACUGCCGGCGGAGCAGCGCGGCGGCGCGACGCCGGAAUCAAGACGAGAGCGAGAGAGGGAUGAGAUGGGUGUGUGCGUUUUUUUUGUGUGUGUGCGUGAGUUUGUGAGGAAAAAU
rnacentral:lncRNA from 1 species